CGAGAAAACGUCUGCGCAUGCGCGUGCACUGUAUGUAAGGAGGGAGAAUGUAAAAUCUUAGCAAUUUUAAAAAAUAUAUAUUUACUUAGAUCUAUGUUGCUUUGUCUACAGUUUUAUACAAAACAAUGACAUCGUGAAACGAGAGAGCUCAAUAAGGAUUUGUAAACAACAACUCAUUCUGGGCGGCAAUUACGGCUUUAAAAACUGAGACUAAGACCCCGUUUACACGGUAUACCGGACGAAUUUGGAACUGGGCUGAAAUUCGUCUGUUUCCGCCGUGUAAACACACGAGAACCACGGAACCGGACGAAUUUGAGACCCCUAACAGGCCCGAAUUCGCGUGUAAACAGGCGAAAAAGGACGAAUUUCAGACCGGUCUCAAAUUCGUCCGGUACCGUGUAAACGGGGUCUAAGUAAUAUAUAGUGGCACUUGCAGAACGCAAAUCUCAGGCAUGUUCAUAUGGAGGUGAGCUACCUUUCUAACCGAUUUGCUCGGCAACGACAAGAUCUAGGACUUAGAUAGACAAGACCAACGACAAGAUCUAGACCUCCAUAUGAAUAUGCCUAAGAUUUGCGUUCUGCAAGUGCCGCUAUAUAUUACUUAGUCUUAGUUUUUAAAGCUGUAAUUGCCGCCCAUAGAAAUGUGCCGCCCUGAAUGAACUUAUACUACAAUUAUACUCAAAGUAGUAUACGCUCUAUGCCAUGUAGGUUGCAAUAACCAUGGUGAUAAAGGGAACCUUUCUAUUCAUCGCGGGCUGUUUUCUGGCGGACACCGCACGACAAUAUGAUAAAAAAAAUGAUCGUGAUACAUUUUGUGGAUAUAUGAAAAGCUAUGAAACAAAAGCAAAGUGUGAACACUUGAUUUGCGCGACGGUAAGAACACAGCAAAUUACACUUUAUUAUUUCAUUCUCAACGGUGGGUUAGUUAUUAAAUUCAAACGAUUGUUUCACGAAAAAUAUUAUUUUAAGCGAUUGAUAUUGGGGAAUUCCAUAAAUAGACGGCAUGUGAAAUGAUCGGUUGUACAAUUUCCCCUUGCAUGUGUAUAGCUAAUUACUUUUUGCACACAAAUGAAAACUUGUUACAAAGAGGAAAGAAGAGCUUUAAAACAUUUCCAGAAAGGAAAUAAUUAAUUAAUGGUGCCCGACUAUCUUUCAAGCGAAUUCACACCAACUAAUGUGAUACGCAGCUACAAUCUGCGUCACUUAAGAAAAUAUUUACUUAUAGAGGAACCGUCCUGUGGAAUAGCCUACCUGUCGAAACUGUAAAUG